rnacentral:lncRNA from 1 species
GGCGGGAGCCGGGCUGGGGUCAAGGUCGGCGCGGGCAAGCGGUGGGGGCCCGCAUGCGCCUCACCCGGCCCAGCGCUUUGCAGCUGCUGUCACGCGCGCACACUCAGGCUUGGCCGGAGCCUGCCGCGUGCUGGCAGCUGAAAUCCAGGCGUUUCCACGGUUGCAGUAGCUGUGAGAUCCCAGCAGAGUAUCCACCUCACGCAGGGAACCCAAGCCAGACGGUAAAAAGAGGGUGAGCUUGUCCCAUUGCACUGAUGUGUCUCAAGGAUAUCCCUACUAUGUAGACAUAAACCUCCUUGAUGAAAAGAUGGACAGUGCCCGGCAAGUGGAAAUGCUAACUACCGCAUGGUUCUGAGAAGUAAAGCGAUUACAGACACUGGCUCCACAUCAGAGGGGGCUUGCACCAUCCAUUCCAAGUGCUCGGUGAACACCUGCUGGGUACCAGGCACAGGACAGGGUUGGACAGAGAACAGUAAGCAGGCCCCGGCUGCCACGUUCCAGCCUGUGUGAAAGAAGGACCAUUGAGAUGUGAAAGAACACCCAUUGAGAUGGAGGAGCAGCACCCAGGAGAUGCUCUCAGGGUCUGGCCGCAUUGCUGCUCUUUACAUUGAGCCGCGGAAGGAAGAGAUGUGAAGGAGACAUACCCGAACCAGGGCUUCCAAAGCUUUGUUCUUUCAUCCAGGGGCUGUGUCCAUGCCGGACACAAGUGCCGGAAGAGAGCAGGACCACAGGCCCCCUGCCUGGUGAGGCUUAUGGAGGAGCCACAGUGCACGCACGAGCACUUACAGGCACAGCCAGGGAGCAGUACAGAGAGCAGAGUGAGGGGACGAAGAGGCAGGCAGGAGGGUGGGGGGGGCGCACACCUCUGACCUGAGGCCUGAGGGACGUGACCUCUGGGCAAAGAUCAAGGGCAGCAGCCCAG